rnacentral:lncRNA from 1 species
CAGCAAGUGGACAUUUGGGAUUUGAACCUGGGCAGUCUGGCCGCAGAGUUCUUACUCUGACGCCACUGUAUGCCUAGGCACUGCAAUGGCAUCUGCGGUGCAUCAUUAAUGAAAACAAGAAACCCUUAUAUUGUGUACUUAAACAUGAGCUUCCAAAUGUCAACACACACGAAAACCAAGCAGCAUUUCCUGGACCCCCAAAGCUCCCAUGGGCCAGACGGGCCGAAGGUGGUGAACCAAAAUAGCACAGGAC